AAAGCAUAGAAAGAUAUUAGCACCGGACUACCUGAAGAAACCAUCUUGAGGAUAAUGAAGCAACAAAAAUUAUGUCCGUACUGCAAAUGAAUCAGCACUAGAUGUGGAGCCUUGUUGUAUCUGUCAGGAGGAAUAUGCUGAUGGUGAUGAGCUCGGGAGGCUAGACUGUGGACAUGACUUCCAUACCAACUGCAUCAAACAGUGGCUUGUGCUGAAAAAUCUGUGCCCCAUUUGUAAGACUACGGCACUGUUUACAUAACAAUAUUGAGAGAGGAAAA